UGUUUCGGCUAGGGGGUCAUCCCGACUUACCAACCCGAUGCAAACUACGAAUACCGAAGAAUGUUAUCACGGGAGACACACGGCGGGUGCUAACGUCCGUCGUGAAGAGGGAAACAACCCAGACCGCCAGCUAAGGUCCCAAAGUCAUGGUUAAGUGGGAAACGAUGUGGGAAGGCACAGACAGCCAGGAUGUUGGCUUAGAAGCAGCCAUCAUUUAAAGAAAGCGUAAUAGCUCACUGGUCGAGUCGGCCUGCGCGGAAGAUGUAACGGGGCUAAACCAUGCACCGAAGCUGCGGCAGCGACACUAUGUGUUGUUGGGUAGGGGAGCGUUCUGUAAGCCUGCGAAGGUGACCUGUGAGGGUUGCUGGAGGUAUCAGAAGUGCGAAUGCUGACAUAAGUAACGAUAAAGCGGGUGAAAAGCCCGCUCGCCGGAAGACCAAGGGUUCCUGUCCAACGUUAAUCGGGGCAGGGUGAGUCGACCCCUAAGGCGAGGCCGAAAGGCGUAGUCGAUGGGAAACAGGUUAAUAUUCCUGUACUUGGUGUUACUGCGAAGGGGGGACGGAGAAGGCUAUGUUAGCCGGGCGACGGUUGUCCCGGUUUAAGCAUGUAGGCUGGUUGUCCAGGCAAAUCCGGAUAAUCAAGGCUGAGGUGUGAUGACGAGGCACUACGGUGCUGAAGUAACAAAUGCCCUGCUUCCAGGAAAAGCCUCUAAGCAUCAGGUAACAUUAAAUCGUACCCCAAACCGACACAGGUGGUCAGGUAGAGAAUACCAAGGCGCUUGAGAGAACUCGGGUGAAGGAACUAGGCAAAAUGGUGCCGUAACUUCGGGAGAAGGCACGCUGGUGUGUAGGUGAAGUCCCUGCGGAUGGAGCUGAGACCAGUCGAAGAUACCAGCUGGCUGCAACUGUUUAUUAAAAACACAGCACUGUGCAAACACGAAAGUGGACGUAUACGGUGUGACGCCUGCCCGGUGCCGGAAGGUUAAUUGAUGGGGUUAUCCGUAAGGAGAAGCUCUUGAUCGAAGCCCCGGUAAACGGCGGCCGUAACUAUAACGGUCCUAAGGUAGCGAAAUUCCUUGUCGGGUAAGUUCCGACCUGCACGAAUGGCGUAAUGAUGGCCAGGCUGUCUCCACCCGAGACUCAGUGAAAUUGAACUCGCUGUGAAGAUGCAGUGUACCCGCGGCAAGACGGAAAGACCCCGUGAACCUUUACUAUAGCUUGACACUGAACAUUGAGCCUUGAUGUGUAGGAUAGGUGGGAGGCUUUGAAGCGUGGACGCCAGUCUGCGUGGAGCCAACCUUGAAAUACCACCCUUUAAUGUUUGAUGUUCUAACGUUGGCCCCUUACCGGGGUUGCGGACAGUGUCUGGUGGGUAGUUUGACUGGGGCGGUCUCCUCCCAAAGCGUAACGGAGGAGCACGAAGGUUAGCUAAUCCUGGUCGGACAUCAGGAGGUUAGUGCAAUGGCAUAAGCUAGCUUGACUGCGAGCGUGACGGCGCGAGCAGGUGCGAAAGCAGGUCAUAGUGAUCCGGUGGUUCUGAAUGGAAGGGCCAUCGCUCAACGGAUAAAAGGUACUCCGGGGAUAACAGGCUGAUACCGCCCAAGAGUUCAUAUCGACGGCGGUGUUUGGCACCUCGAUGUCGGCUCAUCACAUCCUGGGGCUGAAGUAGGUCCCAAGGGUAUGGCUGUUCGCCAUUUAAAGUGGUACGCGAGCUGGGUUUAGAACGUCGUGAGACAGUUCGGUCCCUAUCUGCCGUGGGCGCUGGAGAAUUGAGGGGGGCUGCUCCUAGUACGAGAGGACCGGAGUGGACGCAUCACUGGUGUUCGGGUUGUCAUGCCAAUGGCACUGCCCGGUAGCUAAAUGCGGAAGAGAUAAGUGCUGAAAGCAUCUAAGCACGAAACUUGCCCCGAGAUGAGUUCUCCCUGAGACUU
rnacentral:rRNA from 1 species